rnacentral:rRNA from 1 species
AUUGAACGCUGGCGGCAGGCUUAACACAUGCAAGUCGAGCGGGGAAAGGUAGCUUGCUACCUAACCUAGCGGCGGACGGGUGAGUAAUGCUUAGGAAUCUGCCUAUUAGUGGGGGACAACAUUCCGAAAGGAAUGCUAAUACCGCAUACGCCCUACGGGGGAAAGCAGGGGAUCUUCGGACCUUGCGCUAAUAGAUGAGCCUAAGUCAGAUUAGCUAGUUGGUGGGGUAAAGGCCUACCAAGGCGACGAUCUGUAGCGGGUCUGAGAGGAUGAUCCGCCACACUGGGACUGAGACACGGCCCAGACUCCUACGGGAGGCAGCAGUGGGGAAUAUUGGACAAUGGGGGGAACCCUGAUCCAGCCAUGCCGCGUGUGUGAAGAAGGCCUUAUGGUUGUAAAGCACUUUAAGCGAGGAGGAGGCUCUUUUGGUUAAUACCCAAGAUGAGUGGACGUUACUCGCAGAAUAAGCACCGGCUAACUCUGUGCCAGCCGCCGCCGUAA